GGUGGUUCUCAGGGGAUGCACUUUGGAAUUGGGCUCCCUCCUCUCUGGUUUCAGGGUGUGUCACCUAAGAACUGUU
rfam:Myotis davidii contig161654, whole genome shotgun sequence.